ACAGCUGGGCCUUUCUGCUCCAAAAGGCAGAGUCAUUGCAGCCAGCCCCACGGCAGCUGCAGGCACCCCUCCCCCAGGAUGCUGCACAUGUGGCUGGGUUCCCAUAGCAACCUCUGUGGGGACCUGCUCUCCCUACUUCACCACAGCUCCUCCUGGACUUGUGUGAGAGGUUAGGAAGAGGAGGGGCCAGGAAAGUGAUAGCAUUUCCACAUGCAGACACUUUGAGUCUUUUAAGCCUCUCAAUAACCCCAAGAGGAACAUGCUAUUAUUGUCCUCAUUUUAGUGACAAGGAAGUUGAGGUCCAAGUUCACCCCACCAACCAAAACAAGAGAACUGGUCUGCAGAAUGUAUCAUAUAUCAUUCAGCAUGGGUCAGCACCAGUCAAGAUUGCAGCUGCAGAAACUUGUAAACAGGAAAAAAUGUACUAAGGGACUGUGGUGCGGCACCAGAAAGAAAAGAAAAGUGAGACACGCCAUAGGAAAGAGCAAUAAGCAGGGCAACUUCAAGGGACCGGAAUGAACAAGCAAUCAUUUCAUCAGAAUAAAUAAACUUUGGGAGUUUCUUGGUGGCUCAGUGGCAUAGGGAUCCAGCGAUGUCACUGCUGUGAUGCGGGUUUGAUCCCUAGCCUGAGAAUUUCCACAUGCUGCAGGUGUAGAAAAAAAAGAAUGAAAAGACUUCUGUUUUUAAAUCUUUUUUUGUCUCUCCAUUUAAGACUUAGGUUCUAAAGGGCCUGGGUCUAGCGCCACCUGUUGGCUGGGAGGGGCAGAGGCUGUGAUUGACAGGCCUAUGAGGCUUAUAUGCCUGUGGUGAGUGCAGGGGGAGUGGGUAGGGAGAGUCCCCCCAAAAAACUUGGGAUGCUGUUUCCAGAAGAAGGGGGAAUAAAAGCCAGGGAGGUCAAAACCCAAAUUCACCUGACUGUCAUGAUGGGGCACAAGGUGUUAUCCACCCUGUUAACUGAAUUUACACACACACACACACACACACACACACACACACACACUUUAGUCCUGGUUGGUAGAAAGAGCCCUAAUAACCUUCUAAUAUUCUACAUGAUUUCCUUAUGAUGUUUUUAUGUUUGUUGUUUACCACCUGCCUCUCCUGUUCCCUCUAGAAUGUAAGACCCAGGAGGGCAGCAAAUUGCUCCUGUUUGUUCACUGCAGCAUCCUGAGUGCCUGGCACAUGGUAGGUGCUCAAAAAUGCCGAAUGAGUGCAGAAGUACCAAGCACUCUAAUUGCUCUUGGGGUGCAGUGGUGAACUGACAGCAGGAUUUCUGACCCCACAGAGCUUUCAUCUAGUAAGACAGUAAUAGCCACACAAAUAUAUAACCAAAGGACAAAACUAAAAAAAUGAAAAAUCCUGCUCUAUGCUUUGACAGAAACAAGUGCUUAAAAAAAGAAGGUUGGAAAUUACUGAAGAUAUGGCAGUCACAGAAGGACAGAAAGCCCCUCUCAAGCACGGUUUAAACAAAGGCCUGAAGGUGAAAGGGGGCUGACCGUGAAAAGCAUGAAGGCAGAUUCUUCCAAGCAGAAGAAAGAGUGUGUGCAAAGGUCCUGAGUAGGCAAGAGUUUGGUACGUUUGGGGAACUGGCAUGAGAAGAGCAGCAUGACUGGACCUUAGUAAGCAAGGGCUCGGGGGGUCCAGUUUGAUGAUGGGGUAUGUGCCAGGCACACAGAAGACAGGACAUGGAGUUUAGAUUGCAUUCUGGGUAAUCAGUGCUUGGCCCCAUCUAUGAUUCGAGCUGAUUACUCUGGCUGCAGGUGAAGAACACACUAAAUCGGGAAGCAGGGGAUGCUCCAGGAGGCGAUGCAGUGGUCCAGACUGGGGCUGAACACAGGUGGCCAAAGCCAGAGGAUGAGGGGGACACCUUCAGGCCACCACUUGGUUAAAAAUCAGGUACUAUAGUCAGGAUCGAUGUCACCUUCUGGAGCCCAUGAAGGUACCCCCACCCCAGGUCACCCCUAGUCUGUAGGUGAUAGAUGGUUCCACGGACAAUCCGGCUGCACCCCGUGCCUAAGUGACAGGUGACGGAUGGGGUUGGAACUGAGCGUUCUGAGCCAUGUGGCCAGCAUGCAUCUCUGAGGAGGACUUUGGAGCCAGGAGUUAAUUUAAGGAAAGGAGUGGGGGAGCUCAAAAGCACUUCCUCCACUGCUCAAUUAGUGAAGAGGGCUGUAGGGAGCUGGAGUUUUCAAGAUCCCCUUAAUCAUCUGCCUGCCUGGCGGUGUGCAGAGUGUGGUGGGUAUAAUCGCACCUACCCAUUAACACAUGCAAUUAAGGCUCUGAGGCCUCCAGCACCCCCCCUCCAAUUAAACGACAGAUGAGGGGCCCAUGCGGGUGGCCUCUGAGAUGAAUCACUUGAAGCUGAAAACUUGGAGGCUGGAAGUCUGGACAGAGAGGUGAUUAAAGUUGAUAAAAUCAUGAUGGGAAAGGAGAGGUUCUUGCCCACUCCCAGUCUGCUCCAGGUUCGGGCCCUCCCUGCAGUUGGAUAGAUAGACUUUAAGACAAAUUAGAAGUUCAGCUUCACCUAUAGGAGAAUCAAUAUUUAGAACCCACCAACCACCACCACCUGUAGCAGGCUGCUUCCUUUUUGCUAAAGACACACCUGCACAGUGUCUCGGAUCAGGCGAAUUCCUGGAUAAUUAAUUUUGUGAGAAAGGAGGCUGUCUGGUGGAUUGGCGCGGGGCAUUCUGCUAUCCUGCGAAGGGAUGGGGUGGAGAGAGGGAACUUCCUUUCCCGGGCAUCUCCCAUAUGCCAGACCUUGUGCUCCCUUCCUGCCCUGUAGGCCAUCUCCUUUCAUUUUAUCCAAAUCCUCCCUCCUUUCCUCGGAGAAAGACCAUGUUUUCUUUGCUACAGAGGAUGGAACAGAAGCUUGGGGAGUUCAAGUGCUUUGUCCAAGAUCAUAGGACUGGACACAUAGAUGGUGGAACUGGGAUUUGAACCCUGGCCUGACUUCCAAGUCUCUGUUCCCUCUGCUCUGCGAGGCCCCUUUGAAAUCGUGGUUGCCAAGAUCUUGUCCCUGUGUCCCUGAUGCCCCAUGGGGUGGACUCAGGAGGACAUUCCAGAUGUUAUUCCCUACUCCCCUCCUCCCUCCUCCCCUCAGUGAAUCUCUGAGCCUCUGUGGUUCCUGAUGCGGCCUGAGGAAGGACUUGACAGGUGGUGAGUCCUGAGGUGCUGAGCACCACGCUCAUCUCAAGCAGGAAAAAAAAAGAAAAGAAAAUGGAAAAAGAAACUCCCCUACCUGAACCGCCUCUCCUUCUCUGUGUGUCUCACCAAUUACACCUGCAACGAGUCAUUCAUUAUCCAUUUGCUGAUGGCCAUUUUCAUUUAGCAUCUCUACCGAAGCUCUGGGCGGGAGGUCGUAAUUGAAAAGCUCCACAUUUGAGUUUGCACAGGGGCAGCUCUGCUCCAUUUGACUGUCCUGAGGUGCAGGUACCCCCUGCAGGGGACCAAAUCCAGUCCAUGUCUGCCCAGGGACCCAGCCAUCCCAGGCGAGUGCUGCCUUAGCUCUGCUUCUGCUCAGGGGAGCUCAGAUGCUGGUUCUAGAGAGCGACCAAAGUCACGAGGUUGAAAUCGUCACUAGGUUGUGUCAACAGAGAAGCCACUUGCCAAUCACCCUUCCUCUGAGACCUUCCUGAAUGAACACAAGACACCUGCUGCUUUCUGUAGCCUCGAGUCUUCUUGAGUUUAGGACUCUCCCAGGUCUGCCUCAUUCAUUUCUGAUCCAGAGAAGCGCUGAUAAGGUGCUCUUCAGAAAGGAGCAGGGCGACCAGCUGCAGCUUGGCCCAGGUGAGCAGUCCGCUGCGGGCUUCAGCAGCAACCAGGCAUGCGCUGAGCUGCCAGAGGGCGGCCUCCUGCAGCCCCCGCCACCCCAGGACAUUGCUGCGCGCUUAGCCUGGCAACACAGCCUUCUCUCCAAUGCUCCCUUAACCUUCUCAAACAUUUACCACGUGUCCACCAUGAGUCUGGCUGAGUUUCAGGGGCUGAGGACCAAGGGAUAAAUAAGCCAGUUACUUGUUCAGUUGGAGAGACGCUCAGAUGCCACGUGGCCACUCAGAACCUUCCAAAAGCAGCGGCAGAAUCAAGAGACUUUGAAAGCAGUUUCCCAGGAAUUCAAGUGCCAUGCUGCCCCAACCUGUGUGUAGUGAGAGGUGGAAAGAGAUGACCCCAUCAGCAGUGACUGGCACUGCCCUGAGGGCUCAUGCAUCUGUGAGAACCCAUUGUGAUUGAAGAAAGUAGCUGACCUGGGCUAUAAUCCCACUUCCUGCCCCAGAGGGGCGUGGAAUAAGGGAAUUAGCUGGUGUGUGUUCUGGAGUAGGGUAGACAUGAGAGCAGUCUCUAAUGCCUUUUGUGGCACCUUAACACUCUUACUUGAAGUGGCUAGACUUGGAGAUAAAUAAAUGUGGAAUUAAAGCCUUUGUGCAACAUGCUUUAUUAAACUGCGAAGUGACACAGGAAAGCUACAGGUGUAAAAACCAGCUACUGCACACAGACACAUUUAUGGUCAAGGACAGCCGGGAGUCAAAGGUGACCUGCCACCGUGAUUGGUGUCAGCAAGGACAGAGACUGCAUUUAAGAAAAGCAUUUGGCUGAAUCUCCUGGCUGAGUGCUCCUAUGGGGCUUGGGUAACUCUGAUGAAUAU